UCCCUGGUGGCUCAGAGGUUAAAGCGUCUGCCUGCAAUGUAGGGAGACCUGGGUUCUAUCCCUGGGUAGGGAA
rnacentral:tRNA from 1 species